rnacentral:rRNA from 1 species
CCUACGGGGGGCUGCAGUGGGGAAUAUUGGACAAUGGGCGCAAGCCUGAUCCAGCAAUGCCGCGUGUGUGAAGAAGGCCUGCGGGUUGUAAAGCACUUUAAGCAGGAAAGAAGGGGUGAAAGUUAAUACCUUUCAUCAUUGACGUUACCUGCAGAAUAAGCACCGGCUAACUCCGUGCCAGCAGCCGCGGUAAUACGGAGGGUGCGAGCGUUAAUCGGGCGUAGUGGGUUUAAUGCGCGCGUCGUGAAAUCCCUGGGCUUAACACGGGAACUGCGGUGGAUACUGUCGGGCUAGAGUGUGGUAGAGGGGAGUGGAAUUUCCGGUGUAGCAGUGAAAUGCGUAGAGAUCGGAAGGAACACCAGUGGCGAAGGCGGCUCCCUGGACCAACACUGACGCUGAGGUGCGAAAGCGUGGGGAGCAAACAGGAUUAGAUACCCUAGUAGUC